rnacentral:rRNA from 1 species
CUGGCUCAGAACGAACGCUGGCGGCAGGCUUAACACAUGCAAGUCGAGCGCCCCGCAAGGGGAGCGGCAGACGGGUGAGUAACGCGUGGGAAUCUACCCAUCUCUACGGAACAACUCCGGGAAACUGGAGCUAAUACCGUAUACGUCCUUUUGGAGAAAGAUUUAUCGGAGAUGGAUGAGCCCGCGUUGGAUUAGCUAGUUGGUGGGGUAAUGGCCUACCAAGGCGACGAUCCAUAGCUGGUCUGAGAGGAUGAUCAGCCACACUGGGACUGAGACACGGCCCAGACUCCUACGGGAGGCAGCAGUGGGGAAUAUUGGACAAUGGGCGCAAGCCUGAUCCAGCCAUGCCGCGUGAGUGAUGAAGGCCCUAGGGUUGUAAAGCUCUUUCAACGGU